rnacentral:rRNA from 1 species
AGGCUUAACACAUGCAAGUCGAGCGCGUGGCAACACGAGCGGCAGACGGGUGAGUAACGCGUGGGAAUCUACCCUUUUCUACGGAAUAACGCAGGGAAACUUGUGCUAAUACCGUAUGAGCCCUUCGGGGGAAAGAUUUAUCGGGAAAGGAUGAGCCCGCGUUGGAUUAGCUAGUUGGUGGGGUAAAGGCCUACCAAGGCGACGAUCCAUAGCUGGUCUGAGAGGAUGAUCAGCCACAUUGGGACUGAGACACGGCCCAA